UGUAGUUCUCGGGGCGGGGUGAAAUUCCCCACCGGCGGUGAUUGUUGUAGCUGAAGUUCAGUGGCAACACAGCCCGCGAGCGCCUGCCCAACUGGGCAGGGACAAGCAGAUCCGGUGUGAUUCCGGAGCCGACGGUCAUAGUCCGGAUACGAGAGAACCGGU
rnacentral:ncRNA from 2 species